rnacentral:lncRNA from 1 species
CUCCUGUGAGAAUCUAACACGGAAGCUGAUCUGACAGGAAGCAGUUGAUGGCCCAGGGGUUGGGAUUCCCUGCUCUAUGAUAUGCCAGAGUCCCCACGGCUGAUAUGUCCACACACCUGUAACUUCUUGUCUGUAGCAAUCCGCAUAGCAGAAGGAAGCUGGAAAGCGAUGAUUCUGAAUCAGAUUUUUUUCCCUCCCCCAGUCAGAAGUUGCAAAGAAAACCUCCCAGGAGAGCCAAGAUGCCAGAGAAGAGCUCCUGGGGAUGUGACGUCAUGUGGGCAUAGAGGCUCAGGGCUGGCCUGUCACUGUGUGACCUUCAGUAAGAGUCUUAUCUUUGCUAGCCCUCAAUUUCUCUUCCUGCAAAGGAUGGACAAUGCUGUCUAUUUCUCAGUUGUUAUGAAGAAGAUCAGGUGAUUCUUAGCAUUGUUACAGCCAGUGCCACAAUCAGCUGUUACAAUUAGGAUUUUUGUCACUCCCUGUUUGGCUACAACCUUACUCUGUUUCUUUGGGCAAAUCAGUUCAUUUCUGUGGUGCCUUGUCUCUCCUAUGCCAGCUGAACUCUUGACAGUUAAUGACUCCAGUGAAGCCCAAAAAGCCACAAACGCAGCAGAAGAGCCAAAAGUCCACCCCAGCUUCUGCAGAUGCUGGAUAAUGUCAUUCAACUAGAGACUGUUCCCCGUAAGUGGCUUUUUCUCUCCAAAGAGCCUGGAAUCUGCUCCUCCCAGCUGCUCACACUGGCCUCAUUCUGUGGGCGGAUCUGCUGGAGACCUCUGUCCACACACUUCUGAAACUGGCCGGGAGCCCUGUCACAGUCACGCCAUGCGGCCGGCCAAAUCUAAAGGCCCUUUCUUUUGAGCAAAUAGCCAUUGAGAAAAUGAAAGCCCUGUCGGUGGUGGCAGGGUGUCCAGCUUCUCUCUCUCGGGCCUUUGGAGAUAAUUCUGUGACCAGAGAACGACAGGAGACAAAGGUCUUUGCAUCUGAUCUGCUCCUGAGCCAGCGUGGGAUCAUGGGGCCCGUGGUCCUCUUCCCCUGUACCCCACGGGUUGUUACUGCGCUGCUGUCUUGUCUUUGAGUUGGACGAGGCAGCAGGCAGGCGGCAGAGGGAUAUCUUUCACUGCCCUUGACGCUGUUUAUAAUCAGACACAUGAAAGGAAGGNNNNNNNNNNNNNNNNNNNNNNNNNNNNNNNNNNNNNNNNNNNNNNNNNGAAAGAGAUUGAGUUUAUAGGACGAGUUCUUUGUGUAGACUAAUUUAUCUCUCCCAGGCAGCAGAGAGGGCUGAGCGGGCUUCCUUUUUGUUUCAG